rnacentral:rRNA from 1 species
UUAAAAAGCUCGUAGUUGGAUUUCUGUGGGGACGGAGCGGCCGGCCGCUACUAGCGGUUCGAGCUAGCGCUUUCCCUACAUCCUGCCGCGAACCGCGCUACCAUUAGUUUGGUGGCGCCGGGGAUCGGCUCGUUUACUUUGAGAAAAAUA